UUCUAGGUGCCCAACAGCACAGGGCGAUCUUCUUCCAAGGAUGGUUAGUUUUCUUCUAUAGGUGGCAUGGUCUGGCUUCAGUCCCAAAGGUGUCUGUCUGCACAAGGACCUGCUGGCCGCAUGGUCCCAGAGGCAGGGCUCCUGGCUCCCAAGCCUGGGCUUCUACAAGGCUCUCUCUCGCUCUGGAGCCUAUGCAAGACCGACAGCUUGAUGGCAGCACUCCCUAUGCAGGUCCUGGCUGUCGGAGAGAAAAUCGCCGGGUGCAACACGCCUGGAAAUAUAAAGGGAUUAGAGAGGAUAUUCCGCCUGCAGCACUAACACCACCUCCCAGAGAAGGCAAAUGCUCCCUGAGCUCUUCAGUCAUUUUUGGACCUCAUCGCUCCCAAAGCACCAUGGUGACAAGACUCACAGGUCCCGCUGCCUCUCCACUGGGAUCAUUCUGAGGUGGUCCGGAUUCACGAGAUUACUUCCUGUCAAGCCUGUACCUGCUUCCCUAGCUGUGGCUAUUCUCCCACAAUGCACUUUACUCCAGGAUGGGUACAGACCUUCCCGAAUAUCUCACAGUGAGGGAUGAGACGUGACGUAUACGUUUAACAAGCUAUGUGAUCAGCUGCUCCACAAGUAAGCCACCUUACCCGAAGAACAAGCACUGCCUGGCUCGCCUCUGUUCAGAGCUGAGUAGUAUUCCAUUAUCUGAGAUGCCAUGGCAAUUUAUCCGUUCACUUCCUAGAGGACACGUCAGUUGCUUCCGAGUUGUGGCCGUUGUGAAGCUACUCUAAAGCUACUCUAAAGAUCCGUGUGCAGGUCUUGGUGUGGACAUAAAUUUUCGACCGACUUGGAUAAAUACCAAAUAGCAUCAUUGCUGGGUUGUAUGAAUGAAAAUAAAAUAUCUGUUUUA